UGAUAAUAACAAAUAAAUAAAUAUUCGAGCUCAGCUGCGAUCGCGCGACUUAAAAAUUUUAUCGACAUUGAAAUAAGUAUGUCUCGUUUCGAACUUCGAUUGUUCUCGAGUCUAAAUAAUGCACGACAUCAUUGUUAUGGAUUGCUAUAGUUCCAAACAUAAACAUAGAGUUUAAAUUAUCGCAAGCAGUUCUUACGGGCUGAUUCGUGCAAACAUAGCAAAUCACUGUCCUGAUAAUUAAGUGUGAUAGUCAUAUUUUCUAAUGACAAUUGUUUAAAAGUUAAAAGUUAGUAAAAUAAAGUUAAUAUAAAAGAAAAUAUUGUCUUUAAACAUGGCUUCAAUUUCCAAUACAACAAUUUGCCCAAAAAAAAGUAUUGAAAAUGGAGUAAGGGGUCUUAAAUUAGCAAUGCUUGGUGAUUAUGAAGACGCUAUAAAUGCAUUUGUUGAUGCUUUGUACUAUGAUUGUGACAUAAGGCAUUACUUGAAUCUUUGCAAUUGUUUUAUACGUCAAAAAGAAUUUAAACUAGCAAAAGAUUAUGCAAAAGAAGCCCUAAGUAUUUUAAAGCAAUCAAACAGUCCCAUGACAUCUAAAUAUAAGUUUUUGACACAAUUUAUAAUGGGACAAGCUCAUUAUGGCCUGAAGAAUUACAAAGAGGCUGAAGUAGAAUUUUCCAAAGCGUUUGCUUUAUUUCCAACGAGUAGACAAGUUGCAAAUUAUUUGAGAUGUGUCAAAAUACAACAAAUUCUUGAUUUUGGUUUCUCAUACAAAGACGCAGUCAAAGCUUUAAAAAAUUAUCCCAAUACAGAGGAAGCAAUUAAAUUUCUCUAUAAAUCGAAUCCAAAUUCUAAAACAAAAGAGCUGGAAGAAGAAUUUUCACAUUCAGAUUGUGAUGACUGGGUUUUUGAUUCAGAUGAAGAUGAAAAUUUAUUAGAUUUCUGAAUAAACUUUAAAUCCGAUACGGUUCAUACUUUCAAAGAGUAUCUAUAAAUAAGUAUAGUUAAAACCAUUAAUGAGAUAAGCAUGAAGAAUUUAAAUAGUCAUUAUAAUUAAUUUUGUUAUAUGAACUUUUAUAGCUUUAAAUUGAGCUUCAUAACAAAAUAUACUAUAUUAGUUGGAGAAAUAUUGAAUUUAAAAUUACCAAAAACAAUAACAUACUAGUAUCAAAAAUAAUAUUUAUAAAACUAAGUAAAACUGUCUGAAAUAAAUACCAAAAUUUUUGUCUUCUCUAGCUUAUAUAAUGAAAGAAAUGUUAUUUAUGAGAUAAUGUAUGCAAUGAAUUUAAUUCAUUAUCAUUUUGUUACCAAAUAAUGAAAGAAAUGUUAUUUAUGAGAUAAUGUAUGCAAUGAAUUUAAUUCAUUAUCAUUUUGUUACCAAAUAAACUAGACUUAUAAUGAA